GAAACGCAUUUAUAUACACUUCAAGUUUCACAAUAAAAUACAGGUAAACAAGAAAUUAUCGUGAUCCAGCCGGACAGCUCAGGCGGACCUAAACGGCUGCUUAGAGACCUCACUCGUUCGAUGCGAAUUCCUGGGACAGACCCGGAAGGAGGGGCUGAAAAUUUAAAAAUGUUGAAGACGAACAUUCGUAGACGCUUAGAGGAGGCACAACGUGAGCGGCAGUACCGGAGAGACAUCUGCUUACAGGCCCGCGAGCUGGGAUGUAAAAUGGACCAAGUGAAAUAAGUUUCCCGCAUUGAAUACUUAUUAAGCAAACUCAAAGUUUAUAACAAAUGUUAUUCUUAAAUGAUAAAAUCGAGAUGUAGAUGUUUAAACCGCUAUCAUCAAUAUUGCAUUUUAGCGAAAUUAAACUGUUUGAAUUGAAU